CCAGACGGCCGGGCGGUCGCGGCGCUCGCUUGCGGGCGUCGAGGAAAGUCCGGGCUCCACGGUGAAAAGGCGGCGGGUAACGCCCGCCGGGAGCGAUCCCAGGGAUAGCGCCACAGAAAGCAAACCGCCGGCCGUUCGCGGCCGGGAAGGGUGAAAGGGUGGGGUAAGAGCCCACCG
rnacentral:RNase_P_RNA from 1 species